UUUACGGCAGAAUUUCAACAGUAUAAUCCUGUUAUGUUCAAAAGCAGUACAUUACUGUUUUUUUCGUUUUUGUGAAAUGACGUAGACACAAUAUAACGGCAUUCUACUGUAUUUAUAACUCGAAGGAAAUAAAACAUUACUAUCCAGUAUUUUUGUAAACUGCAGUGAGCACGCCGGGACUUUCAUCCGUCUUGUUAACAGGUAAAUUCCCCUUUGCUUUGCGCGAUUUCAUAGACAAAAUACAUUACAUUUGCUACUGCAACUAAUCUGUAUAGUGGAUAUCGGAAGUGACACUAUCUUUUAUUUGCUCUUUUCAGUGAUAAACGCGCCAAAUGCGACAUCAUCGAGUGCAACUGGAUUUCUGACUCUGUGACUCGGAUUAUAUUAUUCCCAAUUACAGGGUUCAGGUGAAACACCAGGAAGAAGAAUCCAGCACUGGAUGAUCAGCCUUGAGGAGCACAUCAUUUGUGAGGGCAUCCAGCCAGCUUUUCUGUCUGGGCUUGCAGCUGAUUUUUCUACUUACAACAAUUUCAAUCUUCAAUACCAAGCUGAAGACGCAUGCAUGUUGGAAAUUAUUCAACGGUGGUUCAUCGAGAUAAAUCCGGAAAAGGGACCAGGGCUGGAGGAGUCAUAUCAAAGUGGACGGGGAAGGUCACCCAGAAAAAGAAAACCGUGAACCCUCGUGUCUGCAGUCUACUUAAAAAAAUUUAUGGAUUUUGAGUUGGACUUUAUACAAGUAUUACACACCACAGACCACACACUCACAUCACACACACACGUUUGUUUUUGUGAAAAGUGGGGACAUCCCA